rnacentral:rRNA from 1 species
AACGAACGCUGGCGGCGUGGAUAAGACAUGCAAGUCGAACGCUGAUUUCAGGGUAGCAAUAUUCUGAAGUUGGAGUGGCGCAAGGGUGCGUAACACGUGGGUAAUUUGCCAUGAAGCCCGGAAUAACUCGCUGAAAGGCGAGCUAAUACCGGAUGUGAUGUUCGGGAGGCAUCUCCUGAACCUUAAAGCUGGGACCGCAAGGCCUGGCACUUCUUGAUAAGCCCGCGGCCUAUCAGCUAGUUGGUGAGGUAACGGCUCACCAAGGCUAAGACGGGUAGCUGGUCUGAGAGGACGACCAGUCACAAUGGCACUGAAACACGGGCCAUACUCCUACGGGAGGCAGCAGUGGGGAAUUUUGCGCAAUGGGCGAAAGCCUGACGCAGCAACGCCGCGUGAGGGAUGAAAUCCUUCGGGAUGUAAACCUCGCAAAUAUGGGAAGAACUCAAUGACGGUACCAUAUGUAAAGCCACGGCUAACUACGUGCCAGCA